AUGUUGACUAACCCUACUAAUAGCCUUCAUGAGUCUUGUGAUGAUGCAGAAAACAGCAGUGAAAAAAUCAUAGCAAAUGGUGAAGAAAACAGUGCAGCAAAUUCAUAUUUCAUGUGUCCUGGCCUGGGGAGCAAAUCACCCUUGGGAUCUGGUCAGGAGUUGCCGCCGCGCAGCGAAUCCGCUUCAGGAUCGGUGCCCUGUAGUGAAUCUGCUGCGACAGGCGCAGGCGCGCAUGCAAUCCUGGAGGGUCACGGUGCCUCCCCUCGCGCACGCCAAUCGCCGCCCAACAAAUGGCAGGCCGGCGCUGGCCUGGGCUGCGCGCGGCUUGAGGCCCAACCGCUUGUCUACAAGUGGCGGACAGUGACUCACCUGACAGGAGCGGAGACAGAUCCUGAUCCUCCUUGGGAUCGGGGGAGGAUCAGCUUGAUCUAG
rnacentral:rRNA from 1 species